GAAAGUGCAAAAGCCACUUCUUAUAAAGCUUAAAGACCUUUUUGCAAGACUUUGAGGUGGCAAAGACAUGGAUACACUUCAAUUUGUUUCCUGUUGCUUUCUUUAGCAUUCUCACGAUGCAGCUAUGAAAUGUGAAGGAAUUUUAUUUUUGCGUCAUCCUUGUUGGUGCUACUGUUCUUGGUGAAACACACUGGCCGGAGACCUUCAAGUCAGCAAAAGAAAAGGAGAUAUGAUCAAGAUAUAUCUCAGCCAGUUAUAAACCGAGGUAAAGCGAAAGUCACGGAUUAGCUCGAUCGUACUCUUAUGCGUUAGUUGGCAAUGUAAGUUCAUAGUAUUUAGAUGUAUAAUUGAAUUUCCCUAUAUAUAUUUUCAUCUUAUAACCAUGUAAUAAAAUACUUACGUUAAUUUUACCUGAUUGCACAUACGUGCCCCUAUUUGAAAUUCGGUACCCCUGAUUGCACAUACAUGCCCCUGUUUGAACUUCGGUACUCCUGAUUGCACAUACGUGCCUCUGUUUGUACUUCGGUACCCCUGAUUGCACAUACGUGCCCCUGUUUGUACUUUAGUACCCCUGAUUGCACAUACGUGCCCCUGUUUAUACUUCGAUAAUUUCAAUCGAGUAAAAUAGAAGUUGAAUUCAAUUGAUGAUAAGUUAAAAGAUU